rnacentral:rRNA from 1 species
CUAGGCUAGAAUGUGAGGGAAUGUUGGGUAACGCCAUCAGUCCGGGAAACCGGACCCAAAACAAGGUGCUGCAUGGCUGUCGUCAGCUCGUGUCGUGAGAUGUUGGGUUAAGUCCCGCAACGAGCGCAACCCUUAUCAACAGUUGCCAUCAUUAAGUUGGGAACUCUGUUGAGACUGCCGUUGAUAAAACGGAGGAAGGUGGGGAUGAUGUCAAGUCAUCAUGGCCUUUAUGUUCAGGGCUACACACGUGCUACAAUGGCCGGUACAAAACGUCGCAAUCCCGUAAGGGGGAGCUAAUCGCGAAAACCGGUCUCAGUUCGGAUUGAAGUCUGCAACUCGACUUCAUGAAGUUGGAAUCGCUAGUAAUCGCGGAUCAGAACGCCGCGGUGAAUACGUUCCC